GGGAUUGUAGCUCAGUGGUAGAGCACUUACCUUGCAUGUUAAAGACCCUGGGUUCAAAUCCUAAUACUG
rnacentral:tRNA from 1 species